ACACGUAGGGGGCGAGCGUUGUUCGGAAUCAUUGGGCGUAGAGGGCGCGCAGGCGGCGGCUCAAGUCAGGUGUGAAAGUUCCCGGCUCAACCGGGUGAGGCGCUUGAAACUGGGCCGCUGGAGUACAGGAGGGGUCGUCGGAAUUCCAGGUGUAGGGGUGAAUUCUGUAGAUAUCUGGAAGAACACCGGUGGCGAAGGCGGACGACUGGCCAUGUACUGACGCUGAGGCGCGAAGGUGCGGGGAGCGAACAGGUUUAGAUACCCUGGUAGUCCGCACAGUAAACGAUGUGCACCAGGUGGCGGGGGGUAGCCCCCGGUACCGAAGCUAACGCAUUAAGUGCACCGCCUGGGGAGUAUGCUCGCAAGGGUGAAACUCAAAGGAAUUGACGGGG
rnacentral:rRNA from 1 species